AACAAAGGUGUAUGUUUGUAGAGUCAUUUACAACAGCUUCGAACGUGGCUCAGCCAAUCAGAAUCAAGGUCCGGAACUAUCCGUUUUAUAAAGUGCUAUAUAAAA